GAAGGGCCGCGGAGCUGAGAGGUGCUGCAUGGCUGUCGUCAGCUCGUGUUGUGAAAUGUUGGGUUAAGUCCCGCAACGAGCGCAACCCUUAUCCUUUGUUGCCAGCGAUUCGGUCGGGAACUCAAAGGAGACUGCCGGUGAUAAACCGGAGGAAGGUGGGGAUGACGUCAAGUCAUCAUGGCCCUUACGAGUAGGGCUACACACGUGCUACAAUGGCGCAUACAAAGAGAAGCGACCUCGCGAGAGCAAGCGGACCUCAUAAAGUGCGUCGUAGUCCGGAUCGGAGUCUGCAACUCGACUCCGUGAAGUCGGAAUCGCUAGUAAUCGUGGAUCAGAAUGCCACGGUGAAUACGUUCCCGGGCCUUGUACACACCGCCCGUCACACCAUGGGAGUGGGUUGCAAAAGAAGUAGGUAGCUUAACCCUCGGGAGGGCGCUUACCACUUUGUGAUUCAUGACUGGGGUGAAGUCGUAACAAGGUAACCGUAGGGGAACCUGCGGUUGGAUCACCUCCUUACCUGAAGAUACCUUCGUGCGCAGUGCUCACACAGAUUGUCUGAUAGAAAGCUGAAGAAGCAAGACGGCUGCGAAGCCGAGACACACGUACGUGUCCCCUUCGUCUAGCGGUUAGGACUCCGCCCUUUCACGGCGGCAACAGGGGUUCGAAUCCCCUAGGGGACGCCACUUGCUUGGUGACAGGUGAAAGGUGUCUCCACAAAGUAUCUCAAAACUGGCCUCAGGGUCACGUUUGAGAUAUUUGCUCUUUAACAAUCCGGAACAAGCUGAAAAUUUGAAACGACGCACGUCGUGUUCCUCCGUAAUAAGGAACACAGCACGAUGCGGUUGGGGUCUCUCAAAAGCUCAUAACACGCCAGGCGCAAA
rnacentral:sRNA from 1 species